rnacentral:rRNA from 1 species
UACGUAGGGGGCAAGCGUUGUUCGGAAUUACUGGGCGUAAAGGGCGCGUAGGCGGCCUGCUAAGUCGAACGUGAAAUCCCUGGGCUCAACCCAGGAACUGCGUCCGAUACUGGUUGGCUUGAAUCCGGGAGAGGGAUGCGGAAUUCCAGGUGUAGCGGUGAAAUGCGUAGAUAUCUGGAGGAACACCGGUGGCGAAGGCGGCAUCCUGGACCGGCAUUGACGCUGAGGCGCGAAAGCCAGGGGAGCAAACGGG